UAUAAGCUAAUUAUUAACUAGAGAGAUGUCUAAUAGGUUUUAUGACCAUGCAUAAUUUUUUUUAAAAAUCUUUAUUAAUUAGAGAAUUAUUAAUGAAAUACUCAAAAUAUGAGGUCUUCCUAAAAUUUGGGACCUUAGGCGAUUUACUUUAUUCACCUAUAUUUAAAGUCACCUCUGGAUGAAUCUCAAUAUUUUGAGGUGGAUUUUGAAUAAAUAAUCACUUUGUUCUAAGGUCAUCGAUAGCACCAUGAUGCAGAUCGGCUUACGACGAAUCUAAUGAUGCCGACGGUGGCGUCUCAAACAAUAUUGAUGUGGUGGACUGGUGGAGCUAAGUGACUACUAGCAUUGCUGUUAUAUUUCUUUUUUUUUUUCUUUUUUCAAAAUUUUAAGUUAUAUUAUUACUUGCAAAAAAUUAAAAAUGAUAAUUAAUCAAUAACAAUAAAUAAUUAGUAGUAAAUUAUAAAAAAGGUUCUAUUUAGAAGUUUUAGUAAAUUAUAAGAAAAACGUUAUAUUUGGAAGUUUUGAUAUCUAGUGGAUGAGGAAUUUGAAUUCUUACUUUUAGUGAAGAAUCCACCCUUAAUUUUACGGAAUUUCAAUUUCCAUAAAAAGUAAAUUCCACUAUUCUAUUUAUAGCCAACCUAACAAUGUAAAAAGGCAUGGAGUUCAAUGUCCUUUUCUUUCACCUCACCUGACACCUACAACUAAAUAGAGUUUUUUGGUAUAAAAAGAACAUUUUUUAAGGGCUGUCAUAAGACGUAACCCAUUUGACCAUCAAUUUUUUUUUUUGGGGGGGAUCCCUACGAAUGUAAAAAGAUGAAGCCCCCUCUAGGGUUCUUUUAAUCAAAGGCAUAUAAAGCCCUUAUAAUCGAAUUUCAUUUUUAAUAUGCAUAAUUGAGUCUAUUUUGAAUUACACAACAAAACUCUUUGAAAUUUGGAAUAAAAUAGUUCAAUUUUUUUUUUUGGUCUUUAACUAUCUGGUGUCCGGCGACCACAUUAAGCUUCGACUACUCCAGAUUCGGGCUGGGUGCUAAAAAAGUCCUCCCAACGAGGGCGACUCCCAGGGGACUCGAACUAGAGAGCAAACCCAAUCGAGUUAUCUAAGGGGUUCAGCCGGCGCCAGCUGAACCAACACCUCGUUGGUAAAAUAGUUCAAUUUUAUGUUUAAAGCAAAAUAAAGAAAUCUAACUUUAAAAUUUUAAAUCAAUAGGCCUUUGGCUUAGUAAGAGAAUACUUACUCGAACCCCAUAAAAGUAAUUAUAAGGGUUUAAUUUUUUUUUCCUGAAUUAUAAAAUAAAUGAGUAGAAAUAAUUUUCUCUUUUAUUAAAUGUGAGUGGAGUAAGCGUCUCUCAAAUAUCUUUCUUCCGUUAUGAAAUAAUCGAAUAUAUUUCCUCAAUUAUAAAAUAACUGAGUGAAAGUAGUAUUCUCUUUUAGGAAAUAUAAGUAGGGUAGGCGUAUAUGAAAUACUAAAGAAUGUAAGUAGUAGGGAUGGCAAUGGGGAGGGGAGGGGAGGUGACCAAUCUCCCCGUACCCAUCCCCAAUAUUUUGCGUAUGUCCCCGUCCCCUCCCCAUCCCCGUUAAAAUUAUUUAAGAGAAUCUUCAUCUCCUCCCCGAAUAAUAACAGGGGAUCCUUGAGGGUCCCCAAUCCCCGAAUAACUAAUACAUUUUUUUGUUUUCGAUUUUGAGUUAAUCAUAUUAAAAUAAAAAAUUCAAAUAAAAGUAAAGUUUGAAAUAUAUCUUAUAUUAAUAUCCAUUACAAAAGUCACAUACAUUAAAUUAGUAAGGAACGCAGCAUGCAAGAGAUACAAACUAUCACGAACAAAUUAAUAGCCUAAUACAAAAUUGUUACAAAUAAAAUCAAAUUUAGAUUCGAAAUUAAUUUUUCAAUGGUGGCGUGGGCACUUUAUAAAUGUGGACUAUUCCCUUUACAACACAAUAGUUAAGUCGAAGCAAAUCAAGAGCAAAUAUUAGAUUAGAUUAGAUAUUAAAAUUGUGAUUUGUUGUGGGCAAUUAUAACAUCUAAAAAUAAAUAAAAAAUAGAUUUAAGAUAAAUAAAAAAUAGAUUUAAGUUUAAAAUAUUCAAUGAAUAUUAA
rnacentral:lncRNA from 1 species